UUCACCAUGCCACUGGAUUGAGAGAAGCCAUGGUCGCCGGGGAACAGUGCGAACCAGGAUGAGGGAUCGUGGUGCGUCCAUAUCUUCAGCGAGGCGUUAGAGAAAGUCUCGUGGCACGCCAGAAUGCAUGGUUGGUGUCUUCAUCCUCUACGGACGGGGGCAGUGGGUGAUGUGGCGGGUGGCGGAAGUGAAGCUUGCCACCACAGACUCGUGCUGUGUUCGGUAGCCUAGGUGCUACGCAACUCGACUCUCGGUAUGUGAGCCCCUGCUAAGUUCACCUUACCGUCCUCUAUGCGUAGCUCUGGUCAAAGCCGGGUUUCAUUUGCGGGCGCGUUAGGUGGCGUUUCUUCGGCGGGUCAUGGCCGCGGUGGGUGUGGGCGCUGUCGUGCCCAGUCUGCCAAAGGUAGGAGAUAGAGUUCGGAUCGUUGAUUGGCCAACGAACGACCAAGAUUGGGUCGGUUCUUGACGCUUUGAUCUGGGAGUUCAUCACCGUCCGUUUAGAUUGGACGGGCGAUACUGGAUUAGCCCUCGUAAAAUCUCCACCGUAGAUAUUUGAUCGGAUGGGUCGUGCUAAAGAGUUAUUCGAUUAAAUAACAAUCUAAUCUAUGCCGUCCGUGGGCGAUCCAACGGAUAUCUUUGGUCCAUACCCCUUCGCCUUGGCUGGAUUGCUAAAGAGACCCCGUGGUACUUACAAAUUAACCCGCCGUCCGCGCACCGUGUUCAAUAAUUACGACCAGGCCCUGUAUUUUUACAGACCGAACCCCAAGUUUCCUAAUAAUAUUGCGCGCAGUCUAGGGGAAUGGAAAAUUAGAGAAAAUGAUUUAUAAAAUGAAUUACUUUAUAUAAAAACAAUUCUAGAAUCUUAUUUAAUCUUUAGAAAAUUCAUAUUUUGUCUAAAUUGACCCAUUCCAGUUCCUAUAAUUUUGUUUUAAUAUUGUUUAUCAUUUAGUACCACUAUUUUAACAUGAAACCCAUAUUAAAUUGGAUCACCUAAUUAAUUUUGUAUCAAGCACAUACAGACUUCAGAAAAUCAUAACUAAUUUAUCUUAGCCCUAUUUCAACCCGUUCAAGUUGUGUUAGCCUCGUAUCAAUAUUUACUACGCAGUAGCAUUAUUGAUUAUAUGAUGUCCCAUACUUUUAUAAUUAAGUAACUAAUCAGAUCAAUCUAUGUUUAUUGGAUUAACUUUUCUACAUAUUAAUAUAAUAUUCUGAUCUUAUGAUUAUAAGUUUAUUAAAAUGUAAUCUUUAGUAAAGUUAUGAUUAAAAUUAAAGAUGAAUUGAUUAUUUCAUUAGCUUAUCUUUAUAAAAUCAACUCAAGAUCUAGUUUUAAUUGCUUCAUCACAUAGAUCUCCCGUAAAUCACAACUCAGUAACCGUAACUCUUAUCUUAGUGAUUCUCGUUCCCACGAUCUCGUAGCAACACGUAGAUCAUUAUUAUUCAGUUUAUACUUAUGUUUGGUGUGAUGUUAAUUUUAUCUAUACCAUGUUUGUUUGUAUUGCUACGACUAGUGUGAGGUCAUGAGGAUCUAAAGAAUCAUUCUAGUACCUGGAUUCUCAAGUACCAGGAAAGUUGUGCCCUUGAUCUAGUUUUGUUACCCAAUAAUAUUCUUUAUUAUCACUAUUCAAUGCAUAGGUUUAAUUUUGAUGGGACCCAAUAGGUCACCCUAGUCUGUUUAUCAUUUUCCCUUGUUUACCCCUGAAUCAAUUGGGUAGUUAUGUUAUUGCUUUACAUCGUUUUAGGAUAAUAUUUCAUUAUAUCCAUGUUCCAAUUAUUUUGUCAUUCUAUUUAUGUUCAUGUCAAGAUCAUUAAUGUUAAUUGGAACAUGGAGCUUAACUUGAUAAACAUGUGCCACCACAAGGGUGGAAUGGGACGCCCUUGGCUAACUAAUUAGGAAAGCUAGUGCAAGACUACCUUACCCAAAAGGGGCAAGGACAGUAGGGGAGUUGCAUGCAAGGAGGUUCUCGGGUUGAUUUUGCUGCGAUGGCGGUCAGACGAGGGAUUCUUGCAAGUGCUCUUCCCAUAAACUGUAGCGAGUUUUCGGAACCUGGUAGAACUUUGUAAAGGCCUCGUAUUGGAUCCCUAGCCAUUGACCUCGGUAGUGUCUAAGGGCCUUGCAAACCCUGGCGACAUGGGAUACACGACUUGUGGGUAUAGGGUACAACCUCUGCAGAGUGUAAAACUGGUAUACUAGCCGAGCUCACGGUCAAGAGCAGCUCAGGACUCUCGCAUGAUUAAAUUAUGGAACCUAAACUCAAUUUGUCAUAUGCAUUGCAUGGGAUUUGUUAUUAAUUUUGUUCUACUAUUUUAUUAUGGUUUGGUAUUCACUUACAUUUAGUAACUGCUAAUAAAAUUUUGACCAACUUAUUAAAAGCAAUGCUCAGCUUUAACCCCUGUUGUUGUUCAGCUUUACACGUCACUUGAACUCCCACCUUUGGUGAGUUCAUGCCACAUUAUUCCCCACAACUUGUUGAGCGAUGAACAUGUGUGAGCUCACCCUUGCUGUCUCACACCCCCCAUAGGAGAAGAACAGGUGGUUCAUGAGGAGCCACAACGAGGAGUUCGAUUCGAUCUAGGUGGCGUCUCCUAGUUGACUUUAUGGCGCCAAGGACGAU
rnacentral:lncRNA from 1 species